rnacentral:rRNA from 1 species
UACGUAGGUGGCAAGCGUUGUCCGGAUUUACUGGGCGUAAAGGGCGUGUAGGCGGGAUUGUAAGUCAGAUGUGAAAUCUCCGGGCUUAACUCGGAGUCUGCAUUUGAAACUACGGUUCUUGAGUAUCGGAGAGGCAGGCGGAAUUCCUCGUGUAGCGGUGAAAUGCGUAGAUAUGAGGAGGAACACCAGUGGCGAAGGCGGCCUGCUGGACGACAACUGACGCUGAGGCGCGAAAGCGUGGGGAGCAAAC